GAGACCAUUAGGAGAUUCUGAAGGACCUGUGAUGUGUGAUCCUGAGAGAGGGCGUCAAUGGAGCUGGGACCAGCUAUUGAAGUACUGGCAUAUGCAAGAGGGAGAACAAAGAAAAAGGACCAGUGGAUACAAAUUACAGGAAGGAAGAAGUCUUUGCAGAGGAAAUUGAAUGCUGUCUGAUGCUACAAUUCAUAUGGAUCCUUUCCUGGAUUGAAGCCUGACUUUUAAAAAAGGUUUCAAUAAAUUGCUUAUACCUAUGAAGAGAUGCAAAAGAACCUUCAAAAUAAAGCAAAGGACUUGAAGAAAGAGAAGGAAGACAUGAAGAAGAGGAUGUCAUUUAGGUGAAGGGCCAUGCUGGAUAAGGAGCUGGCUGCCUCUGUGAACAUCCUACUCAAGGCAUCUUCACUGCUGUACAUCCUUUUGAAAUCCCAGAGAUCUUCAGUCUCCCUGUGGAUUAAGGAGAUGUGCAGUAUUUAAAGUGGCUUCAGGAAGGCAUGGAAGAGGACUGAGUGGGGAAAGCUUUUU
ensembl:lncRNA CUTALP cutA divalent cation tolerance like, pseudogene